CAGGCGAGGCAGAGGCACUCGGCGGCUGCAGGAGCCAUCUUGCUAUUGUCAUGGGUCUGGUCUCGCUCUGGCUUCCUGCACUACCCGGGUUGCAGCGCGCUCACAAAGACGCUGUCUGGCGUUAGCAGUGACCCCAGGCUGCAGGAAGUAGCUGGUUUUGCCAGGACACAGCGUGCCAGUAAAUGGUGCAAACUGCCACCCCCCCCCCCCCCACACACACAGACAAGAAGCUGCAAUGCACAGACCAGCAGAAACCAAACAGAAGCCACAGACAAUAAAGACACAAUCAGUAGAGCUGAAGUUGCCGAUACCCAGGUGUGUAUCCUAAGUUUAGAUUUGCUGUGGGGCAGUAUCUCCAGUACAAGAGAUUGACCAGUCUGCUUUAGUGCAAGGCGGCUCUUCUAACGGCUGAAAUCACUGAGAGCUAUGUUAAGUGGUGGAACAUCAAGGCAUUGCAGAAGUUGCAGUAAAGUGGCACAGUGGUGGCAUGAACAAUGAUGCAGGCAGAGGCCAGCAGCCUAGUGACUGACAAUGAAGCAGCCAGUGACACGAUGAACAAGUGGCGGCAGCAGGCAGCAAUACAGCAUGAACGGUGCAGCAGCAGAGCCAUUUCUCGGCCUCUCCUCCAUACCCACUAAGGUGUGAGGCGAACUCACCAGAAUGCACCUCUGAAUUUUGCAUCUUUGCUGACCAAGUACAACUGUUACUGUAUCUCCCCCAUAGGGGGCAUCAAGGCCAAGGCAGACCAGAACACCAUGUUUAGCAUUUCAUGAAGUCACAUCUGCUUGUAUCUCUCCCACCCCGCCUUUGUGCUGAGCAGCCUGAAGGCAUUCAAAAGGAGGUGACCCAGAGCUCCCUCAUCUGCACAAAAGGGGACCCUUCGCUACCCUCUCUCUCCUCGAUGUCAUUAAGUUAUCACAGUGCAACAGUUAUGCCAGGACAUGCAAUAGCUCCAGGGUGGCCAUUGUUGAUGGCAGGAUGCUCUCAGGCUUCAUCUCUUCAUAUCAUCCUGGUAGAAGGUCUCUCAGAAGAAUAUCAGUUUCUUAGCUGAGCAAGAACUUCCUGUGUCCAAUAUCAAACUGGCUUCAGUGCUGAUCUACGGUUAAUAUGAAAGAGCUGCAGCUGUAGGGACAGAAACAAAUUCUGCAUCUUUCCACUGAGGAGGCAAGAGGUCCAUGUACUUGUAUCAUGAAUGGAAGAUCACAGCCUAGGUUGGUUGUAAUACACUGGAAGGAUUUGGGGCAAACACGUCUUGCUGAGUACAGCACAGCCUGUGGUCAGACAUCUCACCCGGAAAGCAGCUGCAAGUCUGCAGCGAUUAGAGUAACGUGACAAAUAUGGAAUGCGAACUGAGGAAAGAAGCUGGACAGUUUAUUUCCCUCUGACUAUAGACUGUUAGUAAAUGUUACACUUACAAUCUGGCUGACUGCAUGCUGUGACUGUGCAGUAGGUAACUUGGCUAGAUUCAACCCUAGUGUGUAUAUCCCCUCCAUAAACUCCCUCUAGAUCUAUAAGACCACACAUGACCCUGGUUCCACACUCAGACUGAGAACUGUAGUUGGUCAAAGCAUGUAACAUUCCCCAUAAUAAACUUCUCAAAUUCCACAUGCCUGGGUCCUGGUUAUCUUGUUCUCUCCACACACUUUAGUGGCAUGAAACUGAAGAACACUUGCUGUUAGUAAACUCAAUGGCAUUUCCCUUUUGUAGUGCAAUAAAAACUUAUGAACACCCCAGCUGACCAAUUCCAAAAUUUCAGGGAAUGUUCUAGGCAUCAGUGGGCAGAAUCCUGCAGAUUUUGAAGAAACAUGGAUAACUGGAAAAGCCUGAUUUCUACUGGUGCAUGUGUAAUUUA